rnacentral:sRNA from 1 species
ACGCCAAACUUCUGCCUCAGCCGCCGUCUUGUUGUCUGCCCAUCCUCCUCCCCAUCUCCAGCCUUGCUCUCUGUCCCGCUGCUGACUGCCUCUCCCCCAUCGCUCCGUUCUUCCGCUCCUGCACUCUGCUCUACGCACCUCGAUCGCCCGUCGUUCCUCGUCGUUUCGCACCGUCUCCCACAAUGACCUCAGAACGUGUAGCAAGACGUUUCUUGCCAGGCUCUGUGAGCAGGCCGAACGCUACGAUGAAAUGGUUACAUAUAUGAAGGAAGUUGCCAAUCUGGGCGGUGAACUUACCGUUGAUGAGCGCAACCUUCUUUCCGUUGCCUACAAAAACGUUGUUGGCACCCGCCGUGCUUCCUGGCGCAUAAUCUCCUCCAUCGAGCAGAAAGAGGACUCGAAGGGCUCUGAGAAACAUGUUGCUAUCAUCAGCCAGUACCGCCAGAAGAUCGAGGCUGAACUCGAGCGCGUCUGCCAGGAUGUCCUUGAUGUCCUAGAUCAAUCCUUGAUCCCCAAAGCCGAAUCCGGUGAAUCCAAGGUGUUCUAUCAUAAGAUGAAAGGUGAUUACCACCGUUACCUCGCCGAGUUCGCUUCCGGUAACAAGCGCAAGGUUGCUGCGACUGCUGCCCACGAGGCUUACAAGAACGCUACUGAUGUUGCCCAAACCGAGCUGACGCCCACCCACCCCAUCCGUCUGGGCCUUGCCCUCAACUUCUCCGUGUUCUACUAUGAGAUCCUCAACUCUCCAGACCGUGCCUGCCAUCUGGCCAAACAGGCGUUCGAUGAUGCUAUUGCUGAACUCGACUCCCUAUCCGAGGAGUCGUACCGUGAUAGUACUCUGAUCAUGCAGUUGCUCCGUGACAACUUGACUCUGUGGACCUCGUCCGACGGUGCUGAGCCCGAGACCACGCAACCUAGUGAGCCCAAGGACGAUAAGCCAGCUGAGGCUUCCGAGGGCGCCGAAGGUGCUGCUGAAGGUGCUGCUGAUGCGCCUGCAGCAGAGGAGCCGAAGAAGGAGGAGGAGGCUGCUGCUGGCCCUUCUUGAGGUUGACAAGGCAAAUCCCGCUACCUUUCCCCUUACAGUUUGCGCCAAACAAAGCCAUACUGCAGGCGAAGUGGUAGGUAUAUCGGAAUGUCCUGUUAAACACACAAAAAUAAAACAAAAACCAAAGUAUCCACAGUUGUCCCAAAAGAGCAAGUAAAAAGAAAAAAAAUGUUAAAAAAAAAGCAAAAGAAAAAAAAUAAAAACACAAGGCGAGGAAGAAAGAAGGCAAGGGAGAUGUUAUGUUUCUUUUUGUUUUCGAUGAAAGGGAUCGAGUCGAUUUUAUGGCGUGGGCGUGGGCUGGGUAUGUAUGUGUGUGUAUGUGUGUGUGUGUGUGUGUGUGUGUGUGUGUGUGUGUGCAACCAAACUCCAGGCCUCUCUCUCCUUGCCUCAAGAGACAAGAGACAAGGCGGACGCCCUUGUAGGUACUCUCAAGGGGGGUGGGUGAUGUUAUCCAUCUUUAGUUUUGACCAGGCGGCGUUUGCUACAGUUUGAAUUGGAGAUUUGCGAAGGGGAGGAAUGGGGAAAGAAUGGGAGGGGGAAACGAUGAUAAUCAAAUUAAAAAGAAGAAAGACAAAAAAGAGAAGAGGCUGAUAAUGGAAAACCUGGGGAAUAUUUUUUUUCUUUAUUUUUCUCUAUUUUUCUUUUCUUUUCUUUGUUUCGUUCCUUGUUUUGCGGUCUUUAAUAAUCAAGCAAUCAACAAUAUCCCCCCUGUUCUCCUGUUCAUUACCUACUAUUCCCUGCGUCGUGCAGCCCGCUCGUCCCAGCAGAGAAUCGGCUCCCCAGUGUUUGAUCUUGGUUGUGGAGAGGAAUAAAGGAAGAGGAAGAAGAGGAAGAAGAGGAAGAAGCAUGUUCCCAGUCUGUGCCUCACUUUGAUUAUUCUUCUCUUUUUAGCCUUUCAUCUCCCAUCCCCCCCCUCCCCUUCUCCCCCAGUUUUCUCCCAAUUUUCUUUCAAAAACACAGCUCGCUCCUCUGCCAUCACUCUGCCCGCUCUACCUCUACGUCUUGGAGACCUCGUUCCCUCCCGCGCCCCGGUCCUCGCCUUGUUUGAACUGUUCACCUUUGCCCUGCCCUGUCCCUGCAGGUCCUUCCCCCAAUAUCCCCGACUACAUCCACUCUGGUCAGGAAAGUCACCGCCUGGUGUCCUGGCAGCAUUGCUAACUCUCCCCCGUUGUGCUUCUUGUGUGCUCUAAUAUCUAUGUGUUCCCCCUGUCCUGCCGUCGAUUAGUUUGUAGCUCGGCUCAGCUCGGCUUAGCUAUCUCAUCCCGUAUUAUUUUUUAUUUUUUUAAUUUUAGCCAGGUUAGCUUUUAUUAUAUCCUCCCCUAUAUUCUCUUUUCGCUUUCUCAUUUCUCAUUUCUCUGUCCCCUUCUCCUCUUUCUUCUCUUUUGUCAAGGGUUGAGUUUGUUGGCCCAGAACGAUGUUUGGUCCCCUUUGCUCUUGUUCUUCACACCGGGUCUUUCGCUCUCUGAGAAACACAGUAACUACAGUAGACACAGACGCAGCCGGGGGUAUUCCUCAUCCCUCAUUCCUCGUUCCCGGUGCUCCCUGCUUGUCCUUUCCCUCCAUCUCUCCUCUGCUUACGUCUGCGGCUAGAUGCUGACAAAGCAGGGUCUCGGCGCCCAGACAUUCCGCCAUAUUCCAGAAGCCUUGGCAAGACGAGAAAAGAACACGUUGAGGCUUUUGGCGGCGGCCAAUCAGCGGCCAAUCAGCAAUCAACGUGCGAUCCGGGAGAUGGAGAUGGAGAUGGAGAUAUAUAGACGUCG